UGGCUCAGAACGACGCUGGCGGCGCGUUUAAGCAUGCAAGUCGAGCGGCAAGGCCUCGGGCCCCUAGAGCGGCGGACGGGUGAGUAACACGUGGACAAUCUGCCCCCCGGCCCGGGAUAGCCCAGGGAAACCUGGAUUAAUACCGGAUGAGACGGGACCCGCGAUGGCGGGAUCCGGGAAAGGCGCUGCGGCGCCGCCGGGGGAUGAGUCUGCGUCCCAUUAGCUAGACGGCGGGGUAACGGCCCACCGUGGCGACGAUGGGUAGCCGGCCUGAGAGGGUGGACGGCCACAUUGGAACUGAGACACGGUCCAGACUCCUACGGGAGGCAGCAGCUAAGAAUCUUCCGCAAUGGGCGAAAGCCUGACGGAGCCGACGCCGCGUGAACGAAGAAGGCCGUGAGGUUGUAAAGUUCUUUUCGGGAGGGGGAACAACCGUGGCAGGGAAUGGCCGCGGGAUGACGUGAAUCCCGGAAUAAGCCCCGGCUAACUACGUGCCAGCCGCCGC
rnacentral:rRNA from 1 species